AGCAUAUAUGCUGUGACCCGAAAGAUGGUGAACUAUACUUGAUCAGGUUGAAGUCAGGGGAAACCCUGAUGGAAGACCGAAACAGUUCUGACGUGCAAAUCGAUUGUCAGAAUUGAGUAUAGGGGCGAAAGACCAAUCGAACCAUCUAGUAGCUGGUUCCUUCCGAAGUUUCCCUCAGGAUAGCUGGUGCAUUUUAAUGUUAUAUAAAAUAAUCUUAUCUGGUAAAGCGAAUGAUUAGAGGCCUUAGGGUCGAAACGAUCUUAACCUAUUCUCAAACUUUAAAUGGGUAAGAACCUUAACUUUCUUGAUAUGAAGUUUAAGGUUAUGAUAUAAUGUGCCCAGUGGGCCACUUUUGGAAAGCAGAACUGGCGCUGUGGUAUGAACCAAACGUAAUGUUACGGUGCCCAAAUUAACAACUCAUGCAGAAACCAUGAAAGGCGUUGGAUGCUUAAAACAGCAGGACGGUGAUCAUGGAAGUCGAAAUCCGCUAAGGAGUGUGUAACAACUCACCUGCCGAAGCAACUAGCCCUUAAAAUGGAUGGCGCUUAAGUUGUAUACCUAUACAUUACCGCUAAAGUAGAUGAUUUAUAUUACUUGUGAUAUAAAUUUUGAAACUUUAGUGAGUAGGAAGGUACAAUGGUAUGCGUAGAAGUGUUUGGCGUAAGCCUUCAUGGAGCUGCCAUUGGCACAGAUCUUGGUGGUAGUAGCAAAUAAUCGAAUGAGACCUUGGAGGACUGAAGUGGAGAAGGGUUUCACGAGUUAGUCGGUCCUAAGUUCAAGG
rnacentral:ncRNA from 1 species